GGGGUGUAUAGCUCAGUGGUAGAGCAUUCGACUGCAGAUCGGGAGGUCCCCAGUUCAAACCCCUGGGUGCCCCCA
rnacentral:tRNA from 1 species